UUUUAUGGAGAGUUUGAUCCUGGCUCAGGAUGAACGCUGGCGGCGUGCCUAAUACAUGCAAGUCGAGCGAACGGACGAGAAGCUUGCUUCUCUGAUGUUAGCGGCGGACGGGUGAGUAACACGUGGAUAACCUACCUAUAAGACUGGGAUAACUUCGGGAAACCGGAGCUAAUACCGGAUAAUAUUUUGAACCGCAUGGUUCAAAAGUGAAAGACGGUCUUGCUGUCACUUAUAGAUGGAUCCGCGCUGCAUUAGCUAGUUGGUAAGGUAACGGCUUACCAAGGCAACGAUGCAUAGCCGACCUGAGAGGGUGAUCGGCCACACUGGAACUGAGA
rnacentral:rRNA from 2 species